rnacentral:rRNA from 1 species
GAUGAACGCUGGCGGCGUGCCUAAUACAUGCAAGUCGAGCGAACAGAUGAGGAGCUUGCUCCACUGACGUUAGCGGCGGAAGGGUGAGUAACACGUGGAGAACCUACCUAUAAGACUGGGAUAAAUUCGGGAAACCGGAGCUAAUACCGGAUAAUAUAUUGAACCGCAUGGUUCAAUAGUGAAAGACGGGUUUGCGGUCACUUAUAGAUGGAUCCGCGCCGCAGUAGCUAGUUGGUAAGGUAACGGCUUACCAAGGAAACGAUGCGUAGCCGACCUGAGAGGGUGAUCGGCCACCCUGGAACUGGAACACGGUCCCGACUCCUACGGGAGGCAGCAGUAGGGAAUCUUCCGCAACGGGCGAAAGCCUUACGGAGCAACGCCGCGUGAGUGAUGAAGGUCUUCGGAUCGUAAAACUCUGUUAUUAGGGAAGAACAAAUGUGUAAGUAACUAUGCACGUCUUGACGGUACCUAAUCAGAAAGCCACGGCUAACUACGUG